CUUGUACACACCGCCCGUCACAUCACGAAAGUAGGUUGUACUAGAAGUAGCCGGGCCAACCCGCAAGGGAGGCAGGUUACCACGGUAUGAAUUUAUGAUUGGGGUG
rnacentral:rRNA from 1 species